CGGGGGGGGCAAGCGUUGUUCGGAAUUACUGGGCGUAAAGGGCUCGUAGGCGGCCAACUAAGUCCGACGUGAAAUCCCCAGGCUUAACCUGGGAACUGCGUCGGAUACUGGAUGGCUUGAAUUCGGGAGAGGGAUGCAGAAUUCCAGGUGUAGCGGUGAAAUGCGUAGAUAUCUGGAGGAAUACCGGUGGCGAAGGCGGCAUCCUGGACCGACAUUGACGCUGAGUGAGCGAAAGCUAGGGGAGCAAACGGGAUUAGACACCCCGGUAGUCCUAGCCCUAAACGAUGAAUGCUUGGUGUGGCGGGCAUCGAUCCCUGCCGUGCCGAAGCUAACGCAUUAAGCAUUCCGCCUGGGGAGUACGGGCGCAAGGCUG
rnacentral:rRNA from 1 species